GAUGAACGCUGGCGGCGUGCCUAAUACAUGCAAGUCGAGCGAACAGAUGAGGAGCUUGCUCCUCUGACGUUAGCGGCGGACGGGUGAGUAACACGUGGAUAACCUACCUAUAAGACUGGGAUAACUUCGGGAAACCGGAGCUAAUACCGGAUAAUAUAUUGAACCGCAUGGUUCAAUAGUGAAAGACGGUUUUGCUGUCACUUAUAGAUGGAUCCGCGCCGCAUUAGCUAGUUGGUAAGGUAACGGCUUACCAAGGCGACGAUGCGUAGCCGACCUGAGAGGGUGAACGGCCAGACGGGAAGUGAGACACGGUCCAGACUCCUGCGGGAGGCAGCAGUAGGGAAUCUUCCGCAAUGGGCGAAAGCUUGACGGAGCAACGCCGCGUGAGUGAUGAAGGUCUUCGGAUCGUAAAACUCUGUUAUUAGGGAAGAACAGAUGUGUAAGUAACUAUGCACGUCUUGACGGUACCUAAUCAGAAAGCCACGGCUAACUACGUG
rnacentral:rRNA from 1 species